UACGUAGGGUGCGAGCGUUAAUCGGAAUUACUGGGCGUAAAGCGUGCGCAGGCGGUUUUGCAAGACAGAUGUGAAAUCCCCGGGCUCAACCUGGGAAUUGCAUUUGUGACUGCACGGCUAGAGUGUGUCAGAGGGGGGUAGAAUUCCACGUGUAGCAGUGAAAUGCGUAGAGAUGUGGAGGAAUACCGAUGGCGAAGGCAGCCCCCUGGGAUAACACUGACGCUCAUGCACGAAAGCCGUGGGGGAGCAAACAGG
rnacentral:rRNA from 1 species